GCCCGCCGCCGGAGAGCAGCCCCGGCACGGCCCGGCCCGGCCCGGGCGCUGGGUGCCCUCACACACAGCCCGGCCCUGGGGCGGCAGCGCCCUCCGACACUCUCACAGAGCUUUAAAAGGCGAUUCUGCAUCGCYGCAGCGGCUGGGAGCUCCGGCAGCGGGGCUGCAGGGACAGGGGCAGAUGCUGUCAGACUUGGAGUUAAAGUUCAUUYCUGAUCGAACAGGAUUACGUCCUGCCGCUUGCCACAGGCGAUUCAGCCUUGACUUGGUCUAGUCUUAAUACUGAGGUAAUUGCUGUAAUACUUGCCAAUGACAGAGCACUCUCUGUCCCCAGGUGYUGUACACGUGGGCAUCCCGUUGCCCAUAGGUAUUGCUGCCCUUACUCCUCCUUCAUGCGAGUAAACCUAUUACCGUGCGUGAGGCUUCUUGUGCAGUCAGACCUACAGUAACGAAGCCUCAUGCCGCUGUCUCUCUGAAAUGAACUUGAACUCCUUUUGGAUCUGCAAGUGUCAGCUCCUAAGUGGACCUGGCUGAAAGUUGGGAGCCCACGUGGAACAGUGAGCCUCUCCUGCCUGCUGUGUUUACAGGGAUCUUAACAGUAGUCACGUGAGGUAUUAAACAAGUCUCCCACCUCAGCAUUAUUAAAAUAGGAUGAACAGAUUGCUCAACAACUGCACAAAACUGUUUGGGAAAAGUGCCUCAGGCAGAAGACAGCAUGUGGGAGAAGUGCAAGUGGCUACAAGGAAGAAAAAAAAUCUUCUGGCACUGCCUUAAAUGCAAACACUGAACCUUUGUUGCAUGUGGAGGAAAACCUGCAGGCAAAAUUGGUAAGCAGCAGAAACAAAAUAGCUGUUUCCAAAGCCAGGCAUGAACACCCCAGUACUGUGUGUUUUGACAYGUCACAGAAUCACAGAAUCACAGAAUGGAUUGGAUUGGAAGGAGUCUUUGAAGGUCAUCUACUCCAACCCCCCAGCAGCGAGCAGGGACAGCUUCAACCAGAUCAGGUUGURCACUGCCCUGUCCAACCUGACAUUGAAUGUUUCCAGGGUAGCAUCCACCACCUCUCUGGGCAAUCCUUUCCAGUGUUCUACAACCCUCAUAAAAAUGUCUUCCUUGAAUUUAGUCUGACCUAUCCUCUUUUAGUUUAAGACCUUUAUCCCUUGUCCUAUUGCUACAGGUCCUAUUAAAAGUCUGUUCCCAGCCAUGAUCAUGUGCCAGCACUGAUAUUUUCCAGUGAGGAACGUGGUGUUUAUGUGCCAURUGAGGAAUGAUUUAGGGCAUAUGUUACACAGACAGGUAUUUGUCUCAAGACAUAAUUACUUUCUGUGUAAUAAUACCAAGGAGGCCUGUAGUGCUGGUACCAUUCUUAGCCUGCUUCAGUAGGUUGUGACAUUUCUUUUAGCACUCUUUUCCAAACCUGAAUCAAUUCCUUUCCAAAUGAAUUAUUGUUGUCUACUCCCAGAGUCAAUAGGUUACUUGCUGGGAUGCUGGCCKGAUCCAAU